rnacentral:rRNA from 1 species
UACGUAGGGUGCGAGCGUUAAUCGGAAUUACUGGGCGUAAAGCGUGCGCAGGCGGUUCGCUGUGUCCGAUGUGAAAGCCCCGGGCUCAACCUGGGAAUGGCAUUGGAAACUGGCGGGCUUGAGUGCGGCAGAGGGGGGUGGAAUUCCUGGUGUAGCGGUGAAAUGCGCAGAUAUCAGGAAGAACACCCGUGGCGAAGGCGGCUCUCUGGGACGGUACUGACGCUGAGACGCGAAAGCGUGGGGAGCAAACAGG